UACGGAAGGCAGCAGUGGGGAAUAUUGCACAAUGGGCGAAAGCCUGAUGCAGCUAUGCCGCGUGUAUGAAGAAGGCCUUAGGGUUGUAAAGUACUUUCAUCGGGGAGGAAAAACAAAACUAAUAAUUUUAUUUCUUGACGUUACCCGAAAAAGAAGCACCGGCUAACUCCGUGCCAGCAGCCGCGGUAAUACGGAGGGUGCUAGCGUUAAUCAGAAUUACUGGGCGUAAAGAGCACGUAGGUGGUUUUUUUAAGUCAGAUGUGAAAUCCCUGGGCUUAACCUAGGAACUGCAUUUUGAAACUGAAAUACUAGAGUAUCGUAGAGGGAGGUAGAAUUCUAGGUGUAGCGGUGAAAUGCGUAGAUAUCUGGAGGAAUACCUGUGGCGAAAGCGGCCUCCUAAACGAAUACUGACACUGAGGGUGCGAAAGCGUGGGGAGCAAACAGGGAUUAGAUACC
rnacentral:rRNA from 1 species